rnacentral:antisense_RNA from 1 species
GGGUGCCUGGACAUGUCUGUUCCGGGUUAUCCGGUGCAGACAAAGAAAAGGCCCCACUCAAUGUAAAUCAAGUGAGGCCAAUCUCGAUGCAUGAACAACAUCAGGUUAGCCUUUUACCCGCCGCGAGGCAAGGAAUUGGAGGCCAGUA